UAAUGCUAAUGCUGAAAAGCAAGUUGGAGCGGCAUGAUGGUCUCAAAGGAUCCCGGACAUCAGCCUCCACAUCUGACUCUACUCGGAGGGUUUCUGUGAGAGACAAGUUGCCUGUUAAAGAGGUGGCAGGACUUGACGCUAAUUUACCUUGCACAUGUAAAGUACACUUUCCUGACCCAAACAAGCUCCAUUGCUUUCUGCUGACUAUAAGCCCAGGUGAGGGUUACUACAGGGGUGGAAAAUUUCAGUUUGAAACUGAAGGCCCCAUUGCCUACAACAUGGUGCCUCCCAAGGUGAAAUGCUUGGCUGAAAUCUGGCACCCCAACAUCACAGAAACAGGGGAAAUAUGUCUAAGUUUACUAAGAGGAUAUUCAAUUGAUGGCACUGGCUGGGGUCCCACUAGAAUGUUAAAGGAUGUUGUUUGAGGAUUGAACUAUUUACUGAUCUCUUGAAUUUUGAUGAUCCACUGAUUAUUGAAGCUGCAGAACACCAUUUGCGGGACAAGGAGGAUUUGGAGGACAAAGUGGCUGAAUACAUCAAAUGCCAUACC
rnacentral:lncRNA from 1 species